GUCUGGAGUUUUGAUCUCCUCCAUACCCGCUUCACACCCUGGAGGACGGGGCUAUGGCCCCCCCACACUCCCUAGCAGAUCAUUACAUGGAGAAACCUUUGGAAUGCAAGCAUGCUGAUCCACACAGGUAUGCACACAUGGGUAUUCACAGACGCGGACUAAAGCUUUCUUGGCUGCUGCCUCAAAGUACACUGUGCGCUGUCUAUCUUGCGUGCUGCACAAUAUCGUUUAUUACUUAGUAAAUACUGAUAUCUAUGACUAGCUAGUUUAUUGUGAUGGUGCUUUGUUUUCUCUAUUAUUAUGUUGCUCUUUGUUGUUUGCUGUCUCCUCUGUUUGUUUUUGUUUGUUUGUUUGGUUUUUUUUUUUCUCCAUACAGGUGACCCAGGAGUUUUUUUUUUUGUUUUUUUUUUUGUCUCUCUUCCCCCCCCUUCUCACCGUCUCUUCUCCCCUUUGGUUUUCUUUCUUUCUCUCCCCCUCUCUCUCUCAUUCAUUCCCCCUGUCCUAUUUAUUAAAAAAAAAAAAAAAUGACAAAGGAUGAACUGAAGCUCUGCCAUCACGUAAUGUCGCAUACUGCUGUUUCUGAUGUCAUUUAGAAAAAAAAAAAAAAAAAAAAAAAAAAAAAAAAGAAAAAAAAAAACCUGCCGAACAAUGAGGCUGCUGUUGUAAAAACGCCAACUUUCUUGCGUUGGCAAGGGGUCGUUGAAAUAUCACUAAGACCCUUUCUUUGUGUGAUUCUUCGUAAAACUGUUUUAAUCGGUUAAAACUGUAAAACUGACGACAUAAUCUAUGUUUGAAAAAGAGCGCGAACAACUAUUCACCACCUGGGUCUGUGCUUUUAACACAACAGCGCAUUCGAAAACAAGUUAUUGGCUGCAACAUAUUAAUAUACUUGCUUUUUUACGGAAAAAAAAUAAACAUAACGAAGGUUCCGUUUUACUUACAAGUUUCUCCAAAUGUGUUCUCCAGUCGCUCGAGAAGGGCAGCCAUAUUGAACAGAAUUUUCUGUCAACGUCGUUCAGGUUAGAGAGAAAAGGUCAUGACGUCAUGACAUGCGGAGCUCGGAAAAAAAACAUUUACUCAAAAAUCAUAAUUAAGAAAGCAGUAUUUACUCUUAACUUCUAAGCCAUGUAUAAUUAUAACUGUUUGAAUCGUUAACCGAACAGAAAAGUUUUAAGUUGUUUUAACUAUGUGAGGAGUUUCAAUUGUUAUAUCCAGAAACUUUAUAAGUCAGGUAGACUGUUGGGGUUUACAGUGCAUGUGUGUCCGAGUCUUCUAUCAAAAGUUACAGCUAUUUAUAUGAAGUUGUACAAAAACGCUUUCUUUCGCCAAGACAGUGCGUUUCUCACUGUUACAUGCAUUUGAAUGGGGAACUCGCCC
ensembl:lncRNA